rnacentral:rRNA from 1 species
GAUGAACGCUGGCGGCGUGCCUAAUACAUGCAAGUCGAGCGAAUGGAUUAAGAGCUUGCUCUUAUGAAGUUAGCGGCGGACGGGUGAGUAACACGUGGGUAACCUGCCCAUAAGACUGGGAUAACUCCGGGAAACCGGGGCUAAUACCGGAUAACAUUUUGAACCGCAUGGUUCGAAAUUGAAAGGCGGCUUCGACUGUCACUUAUGGAUGGACCCGCGUCGCAUUAGCUAGUUGGUGAGGUAACGGCUCACCAAGGCAACGAUGCGUAGCCGACCUGAGAGGGUGAUCGGCCACGCUGGGACUGAGACACGGCCAGACUCCUACGGGAGGCAGCAGUAGGGAAUCUUCCGCAAUGGACGAAAGUCUGACGGAGCAACGCCGCGUGAGUGAUGAAGGCUUUCGGGUCGUAAAACUCUGUUGUUAGGGAAGAACAAGUGCUAGUUGAAUAAGCUGGCACCUUGACGGUACCUAACCAGAAAGCCACGGCUAACUACGUGCCAGCCGCCGCCGUAA